GCGCGAAAACGCCCCCCGUGGGGCGGUCGUCGGAGCGUGGCGGCUCCGACCUGACGAGCAGCCAAGG
rnacentral:hammerhead_ribozyme from 1 species